rnacentral:rRNA from 1 species
UAAAAAAAGGUAAGCUACUAAGAGCGAAUGGUGGAUGCCUUGACUGGUAAAGGCGAUGAAGGACGUACUAGACUGCGAUAAGCUACGGGGAGCUGUCAAGAAGCUUUGAUCCGUAGAUUUCCGAAUGGGGCAACCCAAUGUAUAGAGAUAUACAUUACCUAUAUAGGAGCGAACGAGGGGAAUUGAAACAUCUUAGUACCCUCAGGAAAAGAAAUCAAUAGAGAUUGCGUCAGUAGCGGCGAGCGAAAGCGCAAGAGGGCAAACCCAGUGCUUGCACUGGGGGUUGUAGGACUGCAAUGUGCAAGAGGUAAGUUUAGCAGAACAUUCUGGAAAGUAUAACCAUAGAGGGUGAUAGUCCCGUAUGCGAAAAACAAACCUUAGCUAGCAGUAUCCUGAGUAGGGCGGGACACGAGGAAUCCUGUCUGAAUCCGGGUCGACCACGAUCCAACCCUAAAUACUAAUACCAGAUCGAUAGUGCACAAGUACCGUGAGGGAAAGGUGAAAAGAACUGAGGUGAUCAGAGUGAAAUAGAACCUGAAACCAUUUGCUUACAAUCAUUCAGAGCCCUAUGUAGCAAUACAGGGUGAUGGACUGCCUUUUGCAUAAUGAGCCUGCGAGUUGUGGUGUCUGGCAAGGUUAAGCAAACGCGAAGCCGUAGCGAAAGCGAGUCUGAAUAGGGCGCUUAGUCAGAUGCUGCAGACCCGAAACGAAGUGAUCUAUCCAUGAGCAAGUUGAAGCUAGUGUAAGAACUAGUGGAGGACUGAACCCAUAGGCGUUGAAAAGCCCCGGGAUGACUUGUGGAUAGGGGUGAAAGGCCAAUCAAACUUCGUGAUAGCUGGUUCUCUCCGAAAUAUAUUUAGGUAUAGCGUUGUGUCGUAAUAUAAGGGGGUAGAGCACUGAAUGGGCUAGGGCAUACACCAAUGUACCAAACCCUAUCAAACUCCGAAUACCUUAUAUGUAAUCACAGCAGUCAGGCGGCGAGUGAUAAAAUCCGUCGUCAAGAGGGAAACAACCCAGACUACCAGCUAAGGUCCCUAAAUCUUACUUAAGUGGAAAACGAUGUGAAGUUACUUAAACAACC